GACGUAGGUGGCGAGCGUUGUUCGGAAUCACUGGGCAUAAAGCGCGCGUAGGCGGCUGGGUCAGUCGGGUGUGAAAGCCCUCAGCUCAACUGAGGAACUGCGCCCGAUACUGCCCGGCUUGAGGGCCGGAGGGGAGAGUGGAAUUCCCGGUGGAGCGGUGAAAUGCGUAGAGAUCGGGAAGAACGCCGGCGGCGAAAGCGACUCUCUGGACGGUACCUGACGCUGAGGCGCGAAAGCUAGGGGAGCAAACGGG
rnacentral:rRNA from 1 species